CUGUCAGAGGCGGCCGGUCCCGGGCAGGCUCGGGGCGGCCGCGGGGAUGCGGCGCUGAGCGCUCCGGCUGCCCGUCGGUCUGUCCGUCCUUCCGUCCGCCACUCGGUCAGUCACCCCGCACGCCGAGAUCCCCCUUCCCGCAGCCCAUGAUGUGCCUGGAAAGCGACGGCUCCUCCGGCAGCAGCCCGGGCUGCGGCGGGCGGCUGCGAGCCGGCGACGAGGAGGAGGAGGAGGACGGCGAGCGGGGCUGCUGCGGCCGGGGCGCCGAGGGCGAGGUGCAGACCCUGUCGGGCAGGAUGAACCCGCCGGCGGGCGGCAAGCACCCCGACCGCCCCGCCGCCCUCCGCAAGGCGCCGAGCCUCGGCCGGGCCCGGGUGGCGGCCGCCGGCAUCCUCAGCGUGGGCAACGUGCUCAACUACCUGGACCGGUACACGGUGGCAGGUGUGUUAUUGGACAUCCAGCAGCACUUUGGAGUCAAAGACAGCGGGGCUGGUUUGUUACAGACAGUUUUCAUCUGCAGUUUCAUGGUGGCGGCGCCGAUCUUUGGUUACCUUGGUGACCGUUUCAACAGGAAGAUCAUCCUCAGCUGUGGGAUCUUCUUUUGGUCAGCUGUCACUUUUUCGAGCUCCUUCAUCACUGAGCAGUAUUUCUGGCUCCUGGUGCUCUCCCGGGGUCUGGUUGGCAUUGGAGAGGCGAGUUACUCCACCAUUGCCCCGACCAUCAUCGGAGACCUGUUCACCAAAAACACGAGGACCCUCAUGCUCUCUGUCUUCUACUUUGCAAUUCCUCUGGGCAGUGGCUUGGGAUACAUCACUGGGUCCAGCGUGAAGCAGGUUGCUGGAGACUGGCACUGGGCCUUGAGGGUAUCUCCACUCCUGGGAAUGAUAACAGGGACACUCAUCUUGAUAUUUGUUCCUGCUGCUAAAAGAGGAAAUGCUGAACAACUUGGGGGGCAGCUGAAGGCUCGGACCUCGUGGCUGAGAGACAUGAAAGCACUGAUUAGAAACCGCAGCUACGUGUUCUCCUCCCUGGCCACCUCGGCCGUCUCCUUUGCCACGGGGGCACUUGGCAUGUGGAUCCCUCUGUACCUGCACAGGGCACAGGUGGUGCAGAAGACAGCAGAGACCUGCAGCUCGCAGCCCUGCGGCACCAAAGAUAGCUUGAUCUUCGGGGCCAUCACGUGCUUCACUGGUUUCCUGGGUGUCAUCACGGGGGCGGGAGCGACCAAGUGGUGCCGGCUGAAGACGCAGCGGGCGGACCCGCUGGUGUGUGCCGUGGGCAUGCUGGGCUCUGCCAUCUUCAUCUGCCUCAUCUUCGUGGCUGCCAAGAGCAGCAUCGUGGGAGCCUAUAUUUGCAUUUUUAUCGGAGAAACUCUUCUGUUUUCAAACUGGGCUAUCACAGCAGACAUUCUGAUGUACGUGGUGAUCCCCACACGCCGGGCGACCGCAGUGGCCUUGCAGAGCUUCACUUCACACCUCCUGGGAGAUGCUGGCAGUCCUUAUCUCAUUGGAUUUAUCUCAGACCUGAUACGACAAAGCACAAAGGAGUCCCCGGUGUGGGAGUUCCUCAGCCUGGGUUACGCCCUCAUGCUCUGCCCCUUCGUCGUCGUCCUGGGAGGGAUGUUCUUCCUGGCCACAGCCCUGUUCUUCCUCAGUGACCGAGCCAAAGCUGAACAACAUAAAGAAACCGAUUCGGAUCAACUCACGGUUGGCAACUACAGUAAUUCAGAAGACGCUUCCACAUGACAUACAAACUUCUGGGGGUGAACCAACUUGUGAUGCCACCAGCCUCUGUGAAAGUCUGAGACGGUGCCUCCGAAGGAAAGGACACGUGGACUCUGCUCCCACCACACCAAUCUCAAGCUCGAAGCCCUUCCGUGCUGGAUACCAGUGGAUCCUCCAGCUCCACACCACCCCGAGGGGUUCUCCAGCACCAAAUCCCUCCCCCCCACUCCAGCCUGCGGGGUCAGGCACCAGGAGAUGGAGCAGGGCAGGCAGGGACACGGGACCUGCUGCAGCACAAGGACAGCUGUUCCUCUGAGCAUCAGCAACCGGCCCCGGCACCCCGUGCUGCCCACGUGAGUGACUGUAGAUUGUGUACAUGGUUCUAGUUGUAGCCAAUGAAGUCCACAUGGUUUGUAGGACUGGUGUCCUAUGGAAUGCUGCUGCUCUGCCAGCACUCCCACACCCACCGACUGCACUAGCUGGGGACCCGCUCUGUACAUCACCUUUGCUCUGACACUGAAGGCUCAACUCAGAUUAUUAUUUUUUAUUUAAAUAUGUCAUAAGAUGCUUUAUCUCUGCUGAAGACAUUAGAUGAGAUAUAUAUAUAUAUAUAUAUUUAGAUAGACAGUUUUUAUUUAAACGUUUAAAACCUGGAGCUGCCUGUGCAACCACAGCAGACAUGAGUAACGUCCACAGCUCUCCUUGGCUCAGUGCCCUGCAAGAGUUCCAGUGGGUGACCUCCCUGUCACCUGAGGCUGAGCAAUGGGCAGAGGAGAGUCUCACUGCACUGGGAAUGCUGGUGGUUGUCACAGAAAGGCCCAGUACAUUGGACAGAAAUCCCUACGGGCUCUGGAGUUUUCAAAUUCAGCCUCGCCUGGGAGGUUCACAGGCUUUUAAAAUACCAAAAUGCACCUGGCUGAAUGGCUGAACCUCGGGCCUGGGAGUGCAAUACUGCUGUGCCAGUGACCUCGUGCUUUGUUUACAUGCUGCCAUAUCACACGGACUGUCGAUGCUAAUUCUCCCUGUCAGUGUUCCAAAGCAGUGGCUGAUACUCUGUUUCCUGGGAGCAGCGUUUGGGCUCCUGCACACCCAACCCUGCCCAGUCCAAGUGCUCUCCCUGGGGUGUCACCUGUACCUUCACAAAGGUGCGUUUGAGACCUUUCAGACAAGGCCAGUGUCUGAACUGGGCGAGUCUCAAGUGCAGGGACGUGUCACGGGGCCGCUUCACUGGGGUUUUGUUUCCUUGUUCCCUGCACUUGGCCUCCAGGAGCCAAAGUGAUGCCGUGCCAGGUGGGUGCUGCAGCAGUGUGGGGGAGGAAGGAGAGCACAGAGAGCACAGAGAGCACAGGCCCUGCCCAGCCAGGCUGCCUCACAAGGCUCCGUGAGCUCCCCACCCCGUCCCUGCUCCCCCCUGUCCCGCAGGUCAGAUCCCCCUCCAGCUCACACCUCGAGCAGGGAAGGCCCCUCCUGUGCCCGUGGCUCACCAGGGGCUGCAGCUGGGCUCCAAGCAGGACUAAAUCAGCUCAGGAAAUGCCAGACUGGGACUGGAUGCGGGUUAAGGCUGGAAGCUGCUGUCCUGGCUGUGCCACAAGGUUGCCCAGAGACACAGGAAGGUCCUGUUGGUAAAUCUGGGUUUACCUCCCAUUCCCUUCCAGGAUGUGCUGGGACCUACAGCACAGCCUUGCAGUGGGGAUGGUUGUGAUUCCAGGUGCUCACCCCACAGCCAGUCCCUGCCCAGGCAGGUUCCAAAGGUGGCUCCUGUCACCCCGUGAGCCUUUUCCCCUCCUCAGACCCCACAGGACUCCUCUGCAAAGGCUCUGUCACCUCAAAUACCUUAACAACAGCUCUAAGAUUUAGCUGAAGAACCAGAGCCAGAAGAGUUCCUCGAGUGCCUGGGCAUCCUCUGGAGAACAGCAAGUGGGUGCUAGAAAUAACAAAGCAAAGCAAAUCCCAAACAAUGCUUCACUUCCCACCUCGUGCCACUGUUUACAUUGGUAGGGGAAACUCAGCCUCUGCAGUGUGGGAGCCAAACUCUUGGCUUUAAAGGCACAUGAAUUUCUGAUUCCUGUUAAGAAAUUCCUUGUUAAGCUGUUUAAAAAGAAACAAAAAGCAACCCAACAAUCAGUCAUUUCAUCUCAGAGACCAAAGAAGAUUAACCACAUUUCCGAAAUUGCUUUUCCAAUAGGCUCCCUCUGUUGUAGCAUUUACUGUCAACAAAAUGAAACAUUCCUGCUAAGGUUCAGAGGUUAGGAAUUCUCCUUAAAAUUAAUUCUCUGGAGUCAGCCAUGACAAGGGAGCUGAAGUGGUUUGUAGUGUCCUUGUCUGUGACAGGCCCUGGUCCCUGUCAGAGCUCGGUGCUGUCAGGGGCUGCUUUUAUCCUCUGAAGGAAAUGCUGUGGGCUCUGUUGAACAAGAGGGAAGGGAGCAAGCAAGGGAGUGAGAAAUGAGUCUUACCUGCACCAAGGGAUCCCUGAAUCCCUGCUCCCACAUGUUCCAGGCUAGGAGAGGGAGGCUCAGGCUCCUCCCAGUUCCCCUCGCUCUGUGGGACCUACAGUGUCAGGUCCUUGCUGUGUUCACUCACCAGGGUCUGUGCAGUGCCCAGAGGGCACCAGGGAGGUUCCAGGCUGCCCUCAGUGACCCACGAGAGGGUUUUCUUCUCCUCCACUCCGUAAAGGGGAUUUUCUAAAGCAUUAACUGCCCCUUCCCAGCUGAUCCUGCACUGGCACCGCUGCCCAAGCAAUGGUUUGUACACAGGGAGGGGAACUGAGGCAGCGGGAACUGCCCAGAGAGGCAAGAAAAUAACCCAAAAGGCAGCAAAGUGCCAACCCAAGUGGCUCCAGCUCCCAGGGCAGGUCUGGGUGGCCCCAGGAGCCUCUCCCCUUUCAGACUGGCCAAGGGAGACCCUCAGGGUGAGCCUAAACCCCCCAAAAGACUGGCUGUGCUCUGGGAAGCAGAGUUCUCUCAGCACCCUCCGUCCCAGCUGCUUGUUUUCUUCCCCAUUUGCUUUAUUGUUUGGUAAACCAGCACUUAAAAUCACUUUUACUAUGUGAUGUAUGGGAGUAUUAGUAUAUUUUACUUGUUAUACAAGGGAGGAGUAUAAAAUAGUUUUCUGAUUUCUUUCAGAAGCAAAUGACUAUUUUAUUUUUUAAGAGCAAUUGAUUGUGAAUCUCAGAGUAUAAAAAAAAGAAAGAUAAAUAAGCCAAAUAUAUACCUUUAUGUAAAUUAAGAAAUAAAAGUAUUUAAAAUGUA